rnacentral:lncRNA from 1 species
GAGCGAAAGAGAUUUCGUUAGUGCAAGAUUAUUCCGAGUAUCUCUGAUGAGUUUGGGAAUGUGAAUGGGGACGAAUUGUGAAUGUGAAUGGGUUACAAAACCCACUGAAAUAAAUUGAAUUAAUCAAGCGGAAGGACCGAGUUAUUUCGAACUAAUUGGAAGGGUUUAUCAUGAACGGGUCGCUCGCUCGCUCGCUCGGUCAUUCGCUCUGUUCCAAAUCACUUCACAAAUCUCAAUUGUUGCCAGCCCAUACCCAUACCCAUACCCAUGCCGAGAUCCAUUAGAUUUUCACAUUCCUUCAGUCUGUGUUCAAGUUCUAUAGUCGAAAGUUUUGCUCCCCUCAUUCCGCUUGUCAUGAACAGGCGCCAACUUUUCUCCCCUCUCUCUCGCUCUCCAUUUUUUUUUUGUUACGCUUCCAUCAAAAAGCAUCGAAAUCGAACCAAAAAUCUGCCAAUAACACUCAAAUGCUUUUUUCGCCUCGCACUCUCCCUCUCUCUCUCUCUCUCUCCAUUGUGUAUCUUUUGUAUCUGUGUGUAGGUGUGUUGGUGUGUGUGUGUAUGCCUGUCAACGUCAAACACUUCUUGUUAGCAAGUGUUAUGUAUGUUCACGCUGCUUUUCAAUCCUGACUGCCUCCCGACUGCCUGCCUCUGGCCUGCCUUCCCUUUUGUUUUCUGCUGCGUUGGCAUUUUCUGCGAAUCCCGCUUUCCCGUUUUCCCGUUUUCAUUUCUUUUCUUUUCUGUUCUUCUUUUUGCCAACUUCCAUGUAAUUUUCAACGCAAUUUUCUUGUUGGCUGGAUAUCUAAC